GCCGGUGUUCUAUCCAAGCGUGACCUACCUCUUCCCAUUCCGAACAGAGAAGUAAAAGCGUUUGGAUCCGAUGAUACUAGUCGCUUCGGCGACUGGGAAAGUGAGGAUACGCCGGCA
rnacentral:rRNA from 1 species